AGAACCACUGUCAUCUGGUUGGGUUUGGUAGGAUUAGGGGUGAGUUCGGUUCGGAACCGGUCACAUUUAGGUGAAACCGGAAACCGAACCGUGGAACUCGGUUUCUACUUUUUAAGAACCGAAACCGAACCGAAAGAUUUAGGAACCGGUCAUAAACCGAACCAAUUUUUACUGUUCGGUUCGGUGCGGUUCUACGGUUUGGGCUUUUUAAGAUUUUGGGCCUACAACCUUAAUAUAUUGCGGGCUUUCGGACUAUACUUAAUAUUAAAUCCAAAAAAUCCAUUGGGCCAACAUAUAUUAACAUGUUAACUACUCUUUUCGGUUCGGUUUCUCGGUUUACCGGUUUUUUUGCUCACCCCUAGGUAGGAUGGUACACUGGAAUCAUCACUUUGGGAGGUUCCUAUGAUACCAAUUAUUCAUUACACAAAAACAAACCUUGGAUACAAACAAUAUACUGGUUUGCCAAAAGUGAGAGAGAACUUCACUUUGGCAUGGGGGUGCUUUUUUUUCGUUUCUUUCUGAUAUAUUGUUCUUGGAGGGCCAUCAAGUUCGUCGC
rnacentral:lncRNA from 1 species